rnacentral:lncRNA from 1 species
CAUUCUGUUUUCCGAAGAGAGAUGUGAACUUUAAGGCCUCUGCAGUUGACCGCCAAAGUGAUGAUGUGGUUGUCGCCACAACACCCGUUCCCCACAACCAGACCACAUCUGCCCAUACUGAAGCUGGUGGUGGUGCAAGUGAAGAUGCUGUGGCUACUACCCCAGCACCUAAUCCACACAACCAGACAACUUCUGAAGUUACUGGUAGGGUUUCUCUUUAGUUUUUGUGUGGUUCUCUGCAAGUUUGUUUUUUGUAUAAAAUGUGUAAGUGUGUCCUUUGGCUUCUCUUUGGCCCCCUCACUCAUGUGGAAUCCCAAGAUGGAGCCAGUGAAGAUGCUGUGGACCGCCAAAGUGAUGAUGUGGUUGUCGCCACAACACCCGAUCCCCACAACCAGACCACAUCUGCCCAUACUGAAGCUGGUGGUGGUGCAAGUGAAGAUGCUGUGGCUACUACCCCAGCACCUAAUCCACACAACCAGACAACUUCUGAAGUUACUGGUAGGGUUUCUCUUUAGUUUUUGUGUGGUUUUCUGCAAGUUUGGUUUUUGUAUAAAAUGUGUAAGUGUGUCCUUUGGCUUCUCUUUGGCCCCCUCACUCAUGUGGAAUCCCAAGAUGGAGCCAGUGAAGAUGCUGUGGACCGCCAAAGUGAUGAUGUGGUUGUCGCCACAACACCCGAUCCCCACAACCAGACCACAUCUGCCCAUACUGAAGCUGGUGGUGGUGCAAGUGAAGAUGCUGUGGCUACUACCCCAGCACCUAAUCCACACAACCAGACAACUUCUGAAGUUACUGAUGGAGCCAGUGAAGAUGCUGUGGACCGCCAAAGUGAUGAUGUGGUUGUCGCCACAACACCCGAUCCCCACAACCAGACCACAUCUGCCCAUACUGAAGCUGGUGAUGGAGCAAGUGAAGAUGCUGUGGCUACCACCCCAGCACCAAAUCCCCCAACUACAUCUGACCACACUGCAGCUACCGAUGAUGCAAGUGAGGGUGCUGUGGAUGCCCAAACUGGAACUACUGUAUCCCAUACGACUGAAGUCUGAUUCGACUGCUCCUCUGGUCACAAUGACCUGAGACACUGUCUGGACUUUUUGCCUCUACAUGUUGACUGCAAUAAAGGACAGAUUUGUUUUUUUAAUCA